rnacentral:rRNA from 1 species
UACGUAGGGUGCAAGCGUUAAUCGGAAUUACUGGGCGUAAAGCGUGCGCAGGCGGCUUUGCAAGACAGAUGUGAAAUCCCCGGGCUCAACCUGGGAACUGCAUUUGUGACUGCAAGGCUAGAGUACGGUAGAGGGGGAUGGAAUUCCGCGUAUAGCAGUGAAAUGCGUAGAUAUGCGGAGGAACACCGAUGGCGAAGGCAAUCCCCUGGACCUGUACUGACGCUCAUGCACGAAAGCGUGGGGAGCAAACAGG